rnacentral:rRNA from 1 species
AGCAGCCGCGGUAAUACCGGCGGCUCGAGUGGUGGCCACUUUAUGGGCUUAAAGCGUUCGUAGCUGGGUCGUUAAGUCUCUGGGAAAUCCGGCAGCUUAACUGUCGGGCGUCUAAGGGAUACUGGCGAUCUGGAACCGGAGAGGUGAGGGGUACUUCGGGGGUAGGAGUGAAAUCCUGUAAUCCUCGAGGGACCACCUGUGGCGAAGGCGCCUCACCAGAACGGCUUCGACAGUGAGGGACGAAAGCUGGGGAGCAAACCGGAUUAGAUACCCGGGUAGUCCCAGCCGUAAACGAUGUGCGUUAGGUGUAUCGACGACCACGAGUCGUCGAGGUGCCGAAGGGAACCGUGAAACGUACCGCCUGGGAAGUACGGUCGCAAGGCUGAAACUUAAGGAUUGGCGGGGGAGCACCACAACAGGUGGAGCCUGCGGUUUUAAAUUGGACUCAACGCCGGGAAGCUCACCGGAUAAGACAGCUGAAUGAUUGCCGGGCUGAAGACUCUGCAUGACUAGCUGAGUAGAGGUGCAUGG